CUGCGUUAGGCUGGCCGCCGUCUCGUGGCGUCAGGAACCCGGUGCGAAUCCGGGGCGGUUCCGCCACUGUGUUAGCCAGAUACUGGCCGCGGGACAUCCGACUAU
rnacentral:ncRNA from 2 species